rnacentral:lncRNA from 1 species
AGCUGUAGAGCCACCUUCGUUUCAAACAAUUCCCCGUUCUCUCUUCUCCCCACAUCUCUUUCAUUCAGAUUUGACUCUAUGCUCUCUUCCAUCAUCCGGAAGAAGCCUGCGUUGCUUCUAUACAUCUCAAACACCAUGCCCACUUGCCCGCCAUGCUCCAUUGUGUUCACCACGCUUGCCAUGGCUCCAGCUACGACUCCUAGUGUGGCGGGCCAGGGACCAUGAGAAGAUCCCACGAACGCAGUUCCACAAGCCGCUAAGCCUGUCAAUAAGGGACCAGAAAUGGCGAGCAUCCUGUUAACUUUCAAGGCUAUUUUGCCCAGCCUCAAAUAGUCUUCAGUGUCCUUUCUCUUCAAAACCCCAACUACUACUCUCAUUUCUUCCUCCAACUCCACACUCCAACCAUUUCCAUCUGUUCUCCCACUAUGCCUUUCCUGUCUUUGCCUGUGCUCCGGCCACCAUACAGCAGGCUCCACAACUUUGGGGAAUUUAUCGAGCAUCGCUCCUAGUAAAGGAAGCGGGAAGGCCUUGUCCAGUGACAAAACUUUCUCCAUAACUUCCUCAACAUCGGUACUAGUAGGAGUGCCACAAGAGAGUGUUCUUUGAAUCUGGCCAUGAAGCUGCUUAAACAACCUCGCGGCAUUGCGCUGUUCUUCGACGAGUUGAGAUGGCUGGAUCUUAUUCAUCACCACCAACAUCCCCGUGGCUGCCAAAUACAUCAGAGUGGAAGAGAGCUUGAGAGCUACAAGGGGUCCUCCUACACUUGUAGCAGCAAUUCCAGCCAUGGUUGCAGCAGUGAGUGUGAUUGCAUUAAUAGAUGUCAAAAGAAGAUGGUUCCAAUUAUCACGCUGCUCCCCGAUAUUCUUGUGCAUCUCCACUCUAUCUGCCACAGCCUCCAUGAUUGCAUGGAGUUUAGCAAUCACCGAAGGAUCAGAAACAUUGCUCACAGAAGGGAAAAUACCAUUAGUACUCGGCUCGUAUUUCUUCUCCAAAUUGCUGGUGGUUGCAGCUGUGAGACCAACUCCCAUGUCCAGUACUUCCUGUAGUACCAAAUCUCCAGCGGGGAGGUUCAAAGAUAGGCGGCCGGGCUGGAGUUUAGGCAUAUUGAUAGUAGCUCUUAUCAUUCCUCUCCGGCAACGAGAUGAGGAAUAAGCCACUGACGUAAUAACAGCCGAUGAAAAUUGAAGACUCACCAUGUCCUCUCCUUGAACGAUCUGUAUGAGUUUCUUCCUGUUGCUAAGAUUGGUUGAUUCUAAUGGGUAUGUAGUGAAUGGCUUAGGCUUGUAGUGAAAUGUGGUGGCAGUGCAACCUGGAUUAUAUAUAGGGAAUGGGAGUGGACCAAGUACGCUAUUCAACGUUUGAAUGGUCUCAUGGGUCUUGGCUUAGACCUUUUCUUGUCUUUGGUUUAUUGGUGUUUCACCUCUCAAUUACGCUGCUUGUCAAAUAGGGCAUUGAGGCAGUACUUCAUUGACUUUUGUUGGUUUUGAAUACUUAUACAGAAUAUAUAUUUUUGGGCUGCAGGAACUCUGAUUUUUAUUGAUGAAGAGUGCUGAAUUUAUACAUGAGCUUGUAACUUAAAUGACAUUAGAAUAGCAGAAAAUCAAGCUACCUAGAUGAUGAACAACUACUUCCUAUAAAAUAGAAACUAAAUCUUGACCAAAUAAAAAAUAAGAAAAUAUCUAGAUGUUGCAGCUGCAGAAAAUAUUGUGCAAGACUCCAGCUGCAAUAUUCAAAAUUCAAAUUCUAGCAAAUACUAAGUCAAAAUUCAACACUCCUCCUUGACUUCGUAGAUGCAAACUCCAAGUCUUGCACGUAGACACUCGAACCAAACUUCGAAAGGGGUCUGCUUCUUUAACACUUUUGUUGGCAAUAUGUUAAGAAAAUAUACUGCUCCAUUUUGUUGUGGAUUAUAUGGUGCAGUGAGCUGGUGAACAUUGUUUGCAUUCCAUUUCAAGGAUGGCAUCUUUUGAGAUCCACCAACAUCAGUAUGCACCAGUUGCAGUUUUUGGGUUGCUCUCCAGGAUAUUUUCUUUGGAAAGGGAAGUUUAGUUUGCUUCCCAUAUUGACAAGUAGCACAUAUAGGAAGAUCUUUUUCUAAGUCAGGAAGUCCUUCAGCUAUUUGAUUUUUCUUCAUGUAAAGCACAUCAUCAUGAUGAAAGUGCUCGACCCUUCUGUCCCAAAACAUUGUUGUGCUAUCUUGUUGUAAAAUAGCAGUAUGCUCAUCUUCCAAUAAAUUCAAGGCAAAACUCUUGCCCUUCAUUUUUAUGUUGAACACCUCUUUGCCUUCAGCAUCCUUGAUAAUGCAAUUCCUAUCUUCAAAAUAAACUUUAAAUUCUUUCUCAACGAGCUGUCCAACACUGAGUAAGUUUUGGUCAAUGUCANNNNNNNNNNNNNNNNNNNNNNNNNNNNNNNNNNNNNNNNNNNNNNNNNNNNNNNNNNNNNNNNNNNNNNNNNNNNNNNNNNNNNNNNNNNNNNNNNNNNUUUUGGGCUGCUGGAACUCUUUUUUUUUUAUUGAUGAAGAAUGCUGAAUUUAUACAUGAACUUGUAACUUAAAUGACAUUAGAAUAGCAGAAAAUCAAGCUACUAGAUGAUGAACAACUACUUCCUAUAAAAUAGAAACCAAAUCUUGACCAAAUAAAAAUAAGAAAAUAUCUAGAUGUUGCAGAUUUUGUGCAAGACUCCAGCUGCAAUAUUCAAAAUUCAAAUUCCAGCAAAUACUAAGUCAAAAUUCAACACUCCUCCUUGACUUCGUAGAUGCAAACUCCAAGUCUUGCACGUAGACACUCAAACCAAACUUCGAAAGGGGUCUGCUUCUUUAACACUUUUGUUGGCAAUAUGUUCAGAAAAUAUACUGCUCUACUUGCAGUUUUAGCCCAAAAUUGUUUGCAUUCCAUUUCAAGGAUGGCAUUUUUUGAGAUCCACCAACAUCAGUAUGCACCAGUUGCAAUUUUUGGGUUGCUCUCCGGGAUAUUUUCUUUGGAAAGGGAAGUUUAGUUUGCUUCCCAUAUUGACAAGUAGCACAUAUAGGAAGAUCUUUUUCUAAGUCAGGAAGUCCUUCAACUAUUUGAUUUUUCUUCAUGUAGAGCACAUCAUCAUGAUGAAAGUGCUCGACCCUUCUGUCCCAAAACAUUGUUGUGCUAUCCUGUUGUAAAAUAGCAGUAUGCUCAUCUUCCAGUAAAUUCAAGGCAAAACUCUUGCCCUUCAUUUUUAUGUUGAACACCUCUUUGCCUUCAGCAUCCUUGAUAAUGCAAUUCCUAUCUUCAAAAUAAACUUUAAAUUCUUUCUCAACGAGUUGUCCAACACUGAGUAAGUUUUGGUCAAUGUCAGGCACAAACAAAACAUCAUAAAUGAGUUUCAAACCUGUUUGGCUUUCGAUAGCAACCGUUCCUUUGCCCUUCACUGGAAUAUACUCACCAUUUCCAAUUCUGACUUUGGAAAUAGUUGUUCUAUCAAGUUCUCUAAAGAGAUCUUGAUUAUUUGUCAUGUGGUUUGUACAACCACUAUCCACAAGCCAGCUUUUAGAGGUGCUUUUAUUAGCAAAACACGUUGCUGCAAACAAUUGCUCCUCCUGGCAAUAGUCAACUGCUGCACUAGUUUCUUCCUGCUGUUGAUUUUUGCAAAUCCUCUCCACAUGUCCUUGUUUACCACACUUGUUGCAUUUCACAUCUGGUCUCCACCAACAUUUUUGUGGAGAAUGAUUUGUCUUCUUGCAAUGAGGACAAGGUGGAAAAACUCCAUUUUUCUGGUUGUUGCCACACGACUUGUUGUUGUUCACCUUUCCAUUUUUAUGGCCUGCAUUUUUAUGCAUUCUUGCUUGAAAUGCUCCUUCUGCAGUAUCUCCUUGUCUCAUGAGUCUUCUUUGUUCCACAGCCUCCAAGGAAUGUAAUAAUUCUGUCAAGCUAAUAGUUGACAGAUCUUUUGAAUUCUCCAAAGAGGAAAUUGUAGCUUCAUAUUUCUCAGGAAGUGUAACCAAUAUCUUUUGAACAAUCUUUUCAUUGGAAAAUUCUUUUCCAAGCAGCCUAACUUUGUCUGCUAUUGAAAGAAGUUGUACAGCAUAGUCUUUAACAGCAUCAGACUCCCUCAUUUUCUUCAUUUCAAAUUCUCGAAUCAAGUUCAUCACCUGCAUGUUCUUGAUUCUUUCAUCUCCUUUGUAUUCCUCCUUGAGAUACUCCCAAAUUUCUGCAGUUGAAUCAAUUUUCAUGAUUUUGAUGAAAAUUGAUGGUGAAACUGCAGCAAACAAGCAAGCUUUCGCUUUAGCCUUUCUUGUCCUUCUUUCUUUAUGCAACUUCAUUUGAGCCACAGUUGGAUUGGCUCCUAGGGGAGGAACUUCAUAAUUUUCUUCCACUGCUUCCCAAACAUCAAGUGCUUGUAGAUGAACUGUCAUUCUAACAGCCCAAGUUUCAUAAUUGUCUCCAUCAAGAAUUGAUGGUGCAACUGUGAGACUUGACUCUUCCAUUGCUAAAUGAUUUUUGAAGGUGUUUGGGUUCACUCACCUCACUGGCCCCUCAAGAUAACUAUAGCUCUGAUACCACUUUGUUGGUUUUGAAUACUUAUACAGAAUAUAUAUUUUUGGGCUGCAGGAACUCUGAUUUUUAUUGAUGAAGAGUGCUGAAUUUAUACAUGAGCUUGUAACUUAAAUGACAUUAGAAUAGCAGAAAAUCAAGUUACUAGAUGAUGAACAACUACUUCCUAUAAAAUAGAAACUAAAUCUUGACCAAAUAAAAAAUAAAAAAAUAUCUAGAUGUUGCAGAUUUUGUGCAAGACUCCAGCUGCAAUAUUCAAAAUUCAAAUUCUAGCAAAUACUAAGUCAAAAUUCAACAACUUUUAACCUGAAAAAACCAGUAAAACCUUGAAAUAGGCGUAGGCAUUACAAGUACAUAUUUUAAUUAAGAGUUCAAAAUCCCAAUGAGUACGAACAAUUCCUUCAGCUCAUUAUCACUCGUUAGAGAUAUUUGUCAAAUGUUUUUGAGGUGAUAUAUGAUGAAGAAUUUAAAUUCAAAUUCCCAAUAAUGGGUCAUGACCAGAAAUAAUAAAAUCAACCUUUUGCUUCUCCAAUAUUUCUGGGUCUGAAUUCUGUAGCCACAUAUCGUUGAUCAGCAGAUAUAUUUGACGUAACUAAAACAUGGGAUUUGUUCAAAGAUUACAAGUAUUUUGAGCAUUAUCACCAUUAUUUGGUCAAAAAGUGCUACUGUUAUAAUCCAACAUUCAGCCUGUCUGAGACCCAAAUGUUAUGGCUUAAAGCAAGCACUAAGUGCAUUGUAUGGUCAAAUUAAUGGAUACUUCAAGCAAAAACCUAUGUUGUAUGUUAAGACGAGGUAUGAAUGAAAUAUUUGGUAUUUGCCUUUUAAGUUUAUGGUUUGAUUUAUACUAGUGAAUGUACGUAUUAUUUUAAUGAAAGAAUUUUAAAAAGAUGAUGAUCAAUAAAUUUGAGAUGAUUGAUUUAACUUGAUGAGUUAUUUUCUUAUGUUGGAAAUACGGAAAUUUUUAUUUUUCAAGAGAAGUAUAAAAAUAUUUUUCUUUAGAAAUUUGAACUGAAGAACUAAAAUCUAAUGAAAACUCUUAUGAAUGUCAAUGAAAAAUUUUAUUUGAAUGAUAGGGGAUAAAAGGUUGAUAUUCAAGAGUAAUGAAGUUUGGUUGGUAGCUUGUUAUAUCUCACCAAUAAUAGGUUAAAUAUUAUGCAAGCAACAAGUCUCUUAUUAAGGCUUAUGCAAAGUUCAAGCAAGCUUUAUUAUGAUGCAAGUAAGAAAGUCUUAAGAUAUUUAAAAGGAACAAGUUCAUAUAGUAUUUGGUACACUAAUAUAACUGAUCUUUAGCUUUGUUUUUUUUUUUAAAAUUUUGUAGUGAUUGGAUAGGUUUCAUCGAAGAUUGAAAAAUAACCAUAGGCUAUAUUUUCAAUCUUAGUUCAGGUUUGUGGAAUUCAAAGAGUCAUCAAUUGCUUUGUCUUCCUUAGAAGCGGAACAUAUUGCAACAACUUUUAGAGCUUAUGAAAUUAUUUGGUUAAGAGGAAUUUUAGAAGAUAUGAAACAACAUUAAGAAGAGCCCACAAUUAUCCAUUAUGAUAAUCAUUCAACGAUUUUUGUGACAAACAACCUCCAUGUUUCAUGGGUGCACAAAACAUAUAGAGAUACUUUUUCAUUUUAUCAAAGAGUUGGUAGUCAAAGUUACUAUUAAGAUGAUAUAUUAUAACAUCAAUGAAUAACUUGGUGAUAUAUUUAUGAAAUCUCUAUCUUUAGAGAUAUUUGAGUUUUCACGGAUAUUUUAGGAGUUGCAACAUUUCAGCAUUAAGUAGAGAGUUGGAAUUAAUGUUGAUAUUUUAUUGGUUAGCUACAAUUUUUUUUUAAAUCAAAUAAAAUAAAAAAUAUAGUAUACCAUCUUUGGAAGUAUUCCAUACUUGUAUAAGUGGAUUAGUGUUAGUCAACUAGUAGUUAACUUAUUUAAGAAUUUGUUAGAGUUGGAUUGUUUACUUAAAUGCAAAUUGAUUAAUAAAAAAUCAAUCUAAUUCAAUUAGACUUCUUGCUUCUUAUCCAAACAUUUUUAAGUGCUCUAUUUUAUUUUUACUUCUCACUUCUUAAUAGUUGAACUUCUUUUGGAUUAUCAGGGUCAUUCCUUAACUUAGGCUUUCUUUGGUGCGAUCGAUCUCACUUGUAGAUUUAGAAAUAUUUCCCUCAAAUAUGGGAAGAAAAUUGUGAAAAUAUUUCAAUUAAAAAGUAAAGAGUAUGUGUGGGAGGAGGAGGGAAAACAGGGAAACUAGAAUUAUACCAGGCACAUGCAAUGAUGCUGUGGAAGAUGACACGGAACUGGAGCAACACAUACUGGUGAUUGACCCAUCCCACCACCGGCUUGAAGGCCCAUAGCCGCAUUUACAUCCAUUAGAGAUUUUCAAAAGGAUGUAAUCAUAUCUGAUAGUGUAAAUAAUGAUCAAUGUAUACAGCACUGCUGGAUAAUCCUUCUUGANNNNNNNNNNNNNNNNNNNNNNNNNNNNNNNNNNNNNNNNNNNNNNNNNNNNNNNNNNNNNNNNNNNNNNNNNNNNNNNNNNNNNNNNNNNNNNNNNNNNAUGUUUCAAGGCUAAAGGAAACAUCAAUUCUAAGUACUUUACAGUUUAAUUCUCCGAACAAAUUCAGAAUGCAAAUGACAAAACUGAAAAACUCACAUGGAAAAGCAUUUCAGAAAACAGAACAUUAUGGAAGAUAAUCCUACAGCAGCAUCAAAACCUAAAGGGUUUCUGUCUUUUUUUCCUUUUUUUAAUGGAAAACAGGCAUGCAGGCCAGCUCUUUUCAAGAAAUCUAUGAGGAAGUUCAAUGUGGCAUGGUGGGCUUACUCUUUUCCCCUCACCUUCCUUGCUCUAGCCUCUGCGGAAUAUGCACAGAAGGUGGAAGGUGAAAUAGCUCCUGUUCUGAUGCUCAUGCUCAUAGCCUUCUCUGUCUUGGUUUGCCUCAGCUUGAUGCUCUUCACUGCACUCAACACUAAAGCCCUUCUCCUUGGAAAUGAUCCCAUUCUGAAAUUUCGCAAAUCUCAAAACAAGGAGGGCUUGACCAUGGUGUAUAGGAAUGGAGGGUAACUACUCCCAAACCCUGUUUAAUUUUCAACUGCAACUCUACCCUUGUCACUCUGUAGUUUGGUUUCUUAAUCUGACAAUAUACCUGUACUGAACAUAAUCUACAAGAUAAAGUUUUGGCACAUUUCAUGUAAUUUUUAAGUAAUGAAUUAGUAGAAUAUUUAUAGAAUGGACAAUGAAAGCUUAAUCAAAGGAUCAAAGGAUAAGAUGAAUAUCAGAAGUAACAAUUUCUUGACUAUUGAGGAGAAAAUCUAAUUAACUCUACUUCAGCACUCAGCUACAUAAAUCAAUUGACACAACCCCCAAAUCACUCCUACUCCCCACCCCAAAUUUUAAUUAUUAUUUUUUUUUUGAACUUUUGCAAAUAUUCUCAACCUUUGUAUGGAUGUCAAUUAAUCAGUAAUGAACAAACACAUUACAGAACUUCCAACCAAGUACUGUGAAAAAGUAAAGCAGAUACAAAAACUUGUUCACAAAUAUGUGACUGGUUUCUUAUGUGUUCUUCUUGCUACCAGAAUGUGACAAUCUUCGGUCUAAUGACUGCAACUGGUUCCGAAGAUUCUGGUUUUCCUCAAGCAAACGGUCGUAUUCAAGAAGGAAGCCUUCAGAUUGUUUCCUCAGAGCCACAGCAUUGGUUUCUGCAGCCUUUGCUUCUUUUGUUUUUGUCUCAAUUUCAGAUUCCAGCUGCUUAAGCUUUGCCCCUAAUGCUGCCAUCUCUUCCUCCAUGGCUUUGAUUUCUGCUGAACCACCAGUUUUUCCAUCCUCAAAGCCUCGGUUUUGUUUCUUUAUAGCUUCCAUGCUCUUCCUUCUUAAACGGAGUUCUCUGAUGUAGUGAUGUAGUCUGUCUAUCAUUAGUGCAAGGAAGAGGGUGAAUCCUGCAUGUAAGUCCCCCAAAAACAUCAUUACAAAUUCAUAGGCAAUGGCAAUGGGGUUAGAAGCUGAAGGGUAAAAGGGCUAAAAAUAAAAAUGCACAUUAACCAUAAAUUUCAUACUUGUACAAGCGUAGCAGAAUCAAACUGCCAAUAUCGAAUUGGAUAAGAAUUUUGAUAGGUUAAAUUAAACACUGAAUUCUUGGAUAAAUGUGAGCUUCUAGAAAAAGAACAUAUGAUUUUUUAAAACAACAAAAAACAGAGCAACUAGUUGCAUAAAUAUAUACAGCAAGAAAACAGUACUAUUUUCCCACCUGCAUACCCCCUUAGAAAUAUGUCCAGCAUACCCUAGGAGCUCUGAGAUAUUUAGUAGAUAUUCAUUCUAAAAUGGAAUUACAAAUGGAUGGAUAUUAAAAAAGAAAACAAAUGGCAACAACAGGAACUGUUCAGAAAAAACUGGGACAAGUAUAUGGUAAGUUUUCAUACUCAUGCAUUGUUUUGUUUUUCAUCCUCAACAAAGUAAAGAUGAAGGGAGAUGGGGUGGGGUGGGUUUGGGUUGAAGAAGGAAUCAUUGCAGCCAGAUCAUUUCAUCAAUGGAGCAUUAAUAUUGUAGUUUCUAGAUCUUGUUGUUUAUUAUUAUGAAAACUCAAAUCAUUCAGACUCCCCUUGGUUUGGUUUGGAAAAAUCAAGACCCAGAAGCUGGUUCUGUAGGAAUCACACUAUCAAUGUGUUCCAACAAUUUGAUAUUUUUUCCUUGUAAUGAGACUCGUUUCCAGGAAAUAAGCUCACAACCCACUCAUGGCAAUUAAUUGGAACUUCAAUAAGGUCACACACCAACGUCACAACCAAAGUGACAGACAACUGACUUGACAUCAUUUACCCUCCUUUGCUAGAUUCCAUUCUCUGGUUAGACCUACCACAGGUUAGAUGAUCUAGGAAUAUGGCCACCCUGCCCAAGUAUACACUAGCUUGAGCACAUUUGGGCAAGCAUCAUACAGAGUUAAAUGUGGACGAUGAGGGCAUGAUGUAACUGAUAUUAUGACUANNNNNNNNNNNNNNNNNNNNNNNNNNNNNNNNNAUCAGCACCACCAGCACCGUUGCCGCACGUCUUCACCAUAAUAGGGCCUCGACCGCGCUUCACUCGAUCCAGCCCCAUGAUCACCAGCUUCCUCAGUGGAGUCUUGAAGAGGAGCACCAUGAUCAUAGCCAUUUCGGCGAAUAUCACCGUGAACAGUAGCUGAAUCAUCUCCGACCAGCGAGAUCUCACGGCUGCGAACGAGAGAGAGACUUUCGGUUCGACGGCUCAGAUGAGGGCUGUAGGUCAAUACGAUGAGACGAGAUGUCUCGGAACAGAGAGUGAGCAGAGCUUAAGAAGAGAUGGAAGGAAGAAGAGACCCACAGUCUGAGACUAUAAAAUUAUUUAUUUAAUAUACUUUAUUUUUAGGUUUUAGAAUUAAGAGAAUUAUUUAUUAUGUUUUAAGUGUGAAAAAAAAACAAUGAAAAACAUUAAAAUAAUUGAUUUUAAUAUAAAUAUAAUAAUUUAUUUUAUGAACUACAUCACAAAUAAAAUAAAAAUUUAUUUAAAAUAUUAUUAACAAUGAGUUUAUUAUUUUUCAUGUUAUUUUCCAUCACAUAAAUUUAUUCAAUAAAAAAAUCCAUGAUUAAAAUUAGCAUAACAACUUUUAGUUUUUAUAUAUUAAUAUUUUAAAUUUGAAUAAAGAUUUAAAAAAUUAAUAACAUUGUUGUUUUUUUUUUUGUGUUUUUAAUAUAUUUCUAAUUAUUAAUUUAAAAAAAAAUGAUAUUAGUAUAUUUAUGAAUUAAUUUCAUUAGAUAAAAAAAUAUCAUAAAUAAAAUGGUAAGAAAAAUAUAUUUGUGAGUGUGAAAGUGAAGUCAUUUAGUGGGAUAUUUAAAAUACAAAAAAAAAAUUACUAUUUUUUAAAAUUCAAUAGCACAUCACUUGAAUAAUUUUAUUAACAUAAUACGUGAAGGUAGCCCAAUUAAUUUGGGGGAAUACCAAGAAAUAUGGUACUAAUUCGAAUCUUACCACUGAUGAUAUCUAAAAUUUAUCCGAUACUGGUUGUUUGGUCACCAUCGUGAGAUUUAGGUCCCUAUAAAAAGUUUUAAGAACUUAGUCAUAAAAAGUUCCUCAAAGAUUCUUCAUAUUAAAAAAAAAAAUUAUUAACACAAUACAAGAUUUAUAAAAAAAUUUAAUAUAAAAAUCUUAAUAGGAAGCCAAAAAAAGUAUAUUAUUUUUUUAUAAAAAUUCUAUUUCGGCUUGUAAAUCAAUUCUGUGGUGUUCAAUAAAAUUUUAUAUCUCACAAAAGUUCAAUUUCAACUUAUUUAAGAAGCCCGCUGUAUACUUAAUAAAAUAUUUAAAAUAUAAUAAUAAUGUCUUUUAAAAUGAUGACUUUUACCUGAAUUCGAUAAUUUUAAUUAAAGCCAAAAAAUAAAAAUCCAUUUGCCAUUAUAAUAUUUUUGAAAACUCAUUUAUAAAAAAAUUAAGCUCCGUUUAACAAAGGUUUAAAAAUAGUUUUCAAAUGAUUUUUAAAAACAAAAUUUUUCAAAAUUAAUUUUGGAACAAACCCUGAAUGCAAGAUGAUAAUGAGUGUUAAUAAAAGUCCAAAUUCUUUCAAACUUUGAAACCCCAAUUAAAAAAAUUUAAAAUCUAAGUCGGCAGCUCCAAUAUGUGACCAACAUUUUUCAAAGUUUUGAGUACGAAAAGAGAAGAGUGAAGUAAGAAAGCAUGGAGAAAACAGAAAAGGCAGGCAACAAAGAUUAAUUAAAGUUAGGCCCACUACCCAUAGGCCUUUAAAUUUUGAAAUCUUUCAAUUCCAUCCACUUGUUUUUUAAUUUUCCAAUAAGAGAACCAAUUUAAUUUUGAAAUCAAAAGUAUCUCAAGGAUACUGUUUUUUUUUUUUUUUUUAAAUGGUCUUCGACCACAAUUUUAAAAAAUAAUUCUUGAAUAAAAGUUAUUUUUUUAAUUUUUAUAUUAAAAUAAAAUAUGUAAGCAUCUUAAAUAUAUUAAUAUUUAAAAAAAUUUAAAAACAAAUAAACAGGUGAGUAAUUAUGACUGGUUUGCUCACAAUUGAAUCCACUCCCAUAUUUUUUUAGAUGAGAUUCAAGGUGGAAUUCACAUGCAACAAAGGUCUUAAACACUCAGACCAACCACACUAUGGUGGUGUUUGUUUUUUUUAUUUAAUUUUAUAUAGAACUUUAAUGCUUAAUAGUGUUAAAUAUUAGAUUAUUUGUUUUUGUAGUAUUUUAUUUAUAUUAAGUAUUAAAAAUUAAAAAAACCAAUAUAUUAUUUUUUCUAUUUAGAAAAAAGCUAUAUAUUUUGAUUUUUUUUAUUUAGUAAAAAGUUUAUAAUAAGUCAUGAAAAAAUAGAAAAACAAACAAUCUAAAUUUUAAAACUAAAUUGCUUUUAACAAAAAGCCAAAAAAAUAAACAUCACCUACAACAAAUUUCUGAAUUAAUUCCAGCCCCACCUUCAUCAAGAAGGAUCCAACCAACAAUAUCAAUGUCAAAUUUAUACAACUAACCAAUAGAGUCAACAACCAUGAUCAUAGGCCGUUGCCAAGCAAUAAAAGUAGAUCUCCUUUUGGGGCAUGUUCAUUUUACAUUUGAAUAUUGCAGAGGGAUGCUGAAAAGCAAUGGGGGAUUGGUGGGGCAAAGUGACAAUGUGUUCACAUUCACAACCCACUCCUACACUUUCUUCUCUUUCGCUCAUUCUUGAAUUCAUUUUUGCCAAAAUUUAUAUCACAUAAGCUUAUCACUGAUAGAAAGAUAUAUAGGUUGUAAUUACAACCUUUAUGUUAGGUUGAUUAAUUUAAAGAAAGGAAAGGAAAUUUUAAAAAAAUUAUGGGAAAUAAUUUAAUAAUAUUUGGAUUUCAUAAAGAAAAAUGUAUUUCUUAGAUCUAGUUUGUAUAUGAUUUCUUUUCUUUUUUUAAAAGAAAAACAUAAAAUAAUAAUAAUUUUGGUAUAAAAAUUAGAAAUUUUUAUAAAAAAAUGUAGAAUUACCUUAUGUUCUUAAAAAUUACUUUACAAUAUUUUAAAUUUUUUUUCUAAUUACUCAAUUUUUUAAAAUGGGUUUUAAAAAUCAUUAUAUUUUUAAUUUAAAUCUUUGAGAGUUGUUGUCUUUUAUAUAGAAGAUAUUAUUAUAUUGGGCUUUUAAAAAUAUAAAAUAGAAAAUAUACCGAAAUGGAUACUUAUUAAUUUAAUUAUUAAUAAGAACCUUUUUUAAGCCUUCCAAAACAAAGAACCAGAAAAUUAAUUUAAACAUAGGAGAUAGUUAAGAUCCCUGGACAAAUUUUAGGUUUACAUUUUCCUUAAAGGUCAACAGAUUAUUGUUUGUCAACCCCAUGAAAUCUUUAUGAAAACUGAAACCUAACAAACAAUUUAUACAUCUUGGAGUGAUCUACUUAACUUUUCCUUCCUGCUGUAUUCUGAUUCUCAGCAUGAAAAUUCUUUAGUACUUUAUAAUGGGUCUCAAAUUCAAUGGAGUGACAACAAUGUACCGUAAAGAGAAUCAUUCGGUAGCAAAUCCAACAUUGAGUAUAUGGUUUAUGGAUUAAAGCCAACCACCCACCCCCAUUGGAAAAUGAAAUUGACCCGGAAAAUGCAUCAGUUUUAGUUGAAUUCAUAAUUUCUUAAUUUUCAGUUUUGGUGAGCAGAUGUGUUCAAAUUGCUGUAUAGAAAAUGGACUAAUUCAAUUUCCAUGGAAUAUUCAGAUCUUUUAGCAGUCUGAUUUCAAUUGAAUGAAUGAAUACAUGAAUUACUAGAUUGUACAGCCCUAUUGUGUUUAUAGACAAGGUUAGCUUACAAUGAUAUACAAGAUUUAGUGUAUUAUCAACAAAACUAAGGAUGAACCUCUAGGAUAUUAGAAGAGCUUGCUUGCGAACUCUUCAAUGGCCUCUCCUUUUUUGGAAGAAGAAUAAGAGGAUGCUGCCAGAUCCUUGAGCCCGGACAAGCUUCUUCCUAGCUGUAGAGCCACCUUCGUUUCAAACAAUUCCCCGUUCUCUCUUCUCCCCACAUCUCUUUCAUUCAGAUUUGACUCUAUGGUCUCUUCCAUCAUCCGGAAGAAGCCUGCGUUGCUUCUAUACAUCUCAAACACCAUGCCCAUUUGCCCGCCAUGCUCCAUUGUGUUCACCACGCUUGCCAUGGCUCCAGCUACGACUCCUAGUGUGGCGGCCCAGGGACCGUGAGAAGAUCCCACGAACGCAGUUCCACAAGCCGCUAAGCCUGUCAAUAAGGGACCAGAAAUGGCGAGCAUCCUGUUAACUUUCAAGGCUAUUUUGCCCAGCCUCAAAUAGUCUUCAGUGUCCUUUCUCUUCAAAACCCCAACUACUUCUCUCAUUUCUUCCUCCAACUCCACACUCCAACCAUUUCCAUCUGUUCUCCCACUCUGCCUGUCCUGCCUUCGCCUGUGCUCCGGCCACCAUACAGCAGGCUCCACAGUUUUGGGGAAUUUAUCGAGCAUCGCUCCUAGUAAAGGAAGCGGGAAGGCCUUGUCCAGUGACAAAACUUUCUCCAUAACUUCCUCAACAUCGGUACUAGUAGGAGUGCCACAAGAGAGUGUUCUUUGAAUCUGGCCAUGAAGCUGCUUAAACAACCUCGCGGCAUUGCGCUGUUCUUCGACGAGUUGAGAUGGCUGGAUCUUAUUCAUCACCACCAACAUCCCAGUGGCUGCCAAAUACAUCAGAGUGGAAGAGAGCUUGAGAGCUACAAGGGGUCCUCCUACACUUGUAGCAGCAAUUCCAGCCAUGGUUGCAGCAGUGAGUGUGAUUGCAUUAAUCGAUGUCAAAAGAAGAUGGUUCCAAUUAUCACGCUGCUCCCCGAUAUUCUUGUGCAUCUCCACUCUAUCUGCCACAGCCUCCAUGAUUGCAUGGAGUUUAGCAAUCACCGAAGGAUCAGAAACAUCGCUCACAGAAGGGAAAAUACCAUUAGUACUCGGCUCGUAUUUCUUCUCCAAAUUGCUGGUGGUUGCAGCUGUGAGACCAACUCCCAUGUCCAGUACUUCCUGUAGUACCAAAUCUCUAGCGGGGAGGUUCAAAGAUAGGCGGCCGGGCUGGAGUUUAGGCAUAUUGAUAGUAGCUCUUAUCAUUCCUCUCCGGCAACGAGAUGAGGAAUAAGCCACUGACGUAAUAACAGCCGAUGAAAAUUGAAGACUCACCAUGUCCUCUCCUUGAACGAUCUGUAUGAGUUUCUUCUUGUUGCUAAGAUUGGUUGAUUCUAAUGGGUAUGUAGUGAAUGGCUUAGGCUUGUAGUGAAAUGUGGUGGCAAUGCAACCUGGAUUAUAUAUAGGGAAUGGGAGUGGACCAAGUACGCUAUUCAACGUUUGAAUGGUCUCAUGGGUCUUGGCUUAGACCUUUUCUUGUCUUUGGUUAAUUGGUGUUUCACCUCUCAAUUACGCUGCUUGUCAAAUAGGGCAUUGAGGCAGUACUUCAUUGACUUUUAACCUGCGAAAACCAGUAAAACCUUGAAAUAGGCGUAGGCAUUACAAGUACAUAUUUUAAUUAAGAGUUCAAAAUCCCAAUGAGUACGAACAAUUCCUUCAGCUCAUUAUCACUCGUUAGAGAUAUUUGUCAAAUGUUUUUGAGGUGAUAUAUGAUGAAGAAUUUAAAUUUAAAUUCCCAAUAAGGGGUCAUGACCAGAAAUAAUAAAAUCAACUUUUGCUUCUCCAAUAUUUCUGGGUCUGAAUUCUGUAGCCACAUAUCGUUGAUCAGCAGAUAUAUUUGACGUAACUAAAACAUGGGAUUUGUUCAAAGAUUACAAGUAUUUUGAGCAUUAUCACCAUUAUUUGGUCAAAAAGUGCUACUGUUAUAAUCCAACAUUCAGCCUGUCUGAGACCCAAAUGUUAUGGCUUAAAGCAAGCACUAAGUGCAUUGUAUGGUCAAAUUAAUGGAUACUUCAAGCAAAAAUCUAUGUUGUAUGUUAAGACGAGGUAUGAAUGAAAUAUUUGGUAUUUGCCUUUUAAGUUUAUGGUUUGAUUUAUACUAGUGAAUGUACGUAUUAUUUUAAUGAAAGAAUUUUAAAAAGAUGAUGAUCACUAAAUUUGAGAUGAUUGAUUUAACUUGAUGAGUUAUUUUCUUAUGUUGGAAAUACAGAAAUUUUUAUUUUUCAAGAGAAGUAUAAAAAUAUUCUUCUUUAGAAAUUUGAAAUGAAGAACUAAAAUCUAAUGAAAACUCUUAUGAAUGUCAAUGAAAAAUUUUAUUUGAAUGAUAGGGGAUAAAAGGUUGAUAUUCAAGAGUAAUGAAGUUUGGUUGGUAGCUUGUUAUAUCUCACCAAUAAUAGGUUAAAUAUUAUGCAAGCAACAAGUCUCUUAUUAAGGCUUAUGCAAAGUUCAAGCAAGCUUUAUUAUGAUGCAAGUAAGAAAGUCUUAAGAUAUUUAAAAGGAACAAGUUCAUAUAGUAUUUGGUACACUAAUAUAACUGAUCUUUAGCUUUGUUUUUUUUUUAAAAAUUUUGUAGUGAUUGGAUAGGUUUCAUCGAAGAUUGAAAAAUAACCAUAGGCUAUAUUUUCAAUCUUAGUUCAGGUUUGUGGAAUUCAAAGAGUCAUCAAUUGCUUUGUCUUCCUUAGAAGCGGAACAUAUUGCAACAACUUUUAGAGCUUAUGAAAUUAUUUGGUUAAGAGGAAUUUUAGAAGAUAUGAAACAACAUUAAGAAGAGCCCACAAUUAUCCAUUAUGAUAAUCAUUCAACGAUUUUUGUGACAAACAACCUCCAUGUUUCAUGGGUGCACAAAACAUAUAAAGAUACUUUUUCAUUUUAUCAAAGAGUUGGUAGUCAAAGUUAUUAUUAAGAUGAUAUAUUAUAACAUCAAUGAAUAACUUGGUGAUAUAUUUAUGAAAUCUCUAUCUUUAGAGAUAUUUGAGUUUUCACGGAUAUUUUAGGAGUUGCAACAUUUCAGCAUUAAGUAGAGAGUUGGAAUUAAUGUUGAUAUUUUAUUGGUUAGCUACAAUUUUAUUUUAAAUCAAAUAAAAUAAAAAAUAUAGUAUACCAUCUUUGGAAGUAUUCCAUACUUGUAUAAGUGGAUUAGUGUUAGUCAACUAGUAGUUAACUUAUUUAAGAAUUUGUUAGAGUUGGAUUGUUUAUUUAAAUGCAAAUUGAUUAAUAAAAAAUCAAUCUAAUUCAAUUAGACUUCUUGCUUCUUAUCCAAACAUUUUUAAGUGCUCUAUUUUAUUUUUACUUCUCACUUCUUAAUAGUUGAACUUCUUUUGGAUUAUCAGGCUCAUUCCUUAACUUAGGCUUUCUUUGGUGCGAUCGAUCUCACUUGUAGAUUUAGAAAUAUUUCCCUCAAAUAUGGGAAGAAAAUUGUGAAAAUAUUUCAAUUAAAAAGUAAAGAGUGUGUGUGGGAGGAGGAGGGAAAACAGGGAAACUAGAAUUAUACCAGGCACAUGCAAUGAUGCUGUGGAAGAUGACACGGAACUGGAGCAACACAUACUGGUGAUUGACCCAUCCCACCACCGGCUUGAAGGCCCAGAGCCGCAUUUACAUCCAUUAGAGAUUUUCAAAAGGAUGUAAUCAUAUCUGAUAGUGUAAAUAAUGAUCAAUGUAUACAGCACUGCUGGAUAAUCCUUCUUGAUCUUAGUUUUCACAUGGGUCUAGGGUCUUCUUGCAUUUCAUAAGAGUAUACAAUCUAAGGGUCUGGUCAUGGACUGUAAGUAUUUUAUAUCAAUGCCUCUAUGCCAAGCCUAGUCACCAAUCUGCAAUUUUUUUAGGCUUUGUUUAUAUGGUUGUUUACUCUAAAUUAAAUAUUGAUUGAGGAAUUUCUUAUGCCAAUAUGUAGCAAGGUCAACCAGGGAACUGGUUUACAUCCAAUGCCUUCAUUGCAUCUAUCUCUGAUGUGCAUAUGGCCCUCUAUUCCUAUGUAUUGCUUGCAAGAUUCCAUAUAGUAUUGAAGUUAUACAAGGAUCAAGGUGAGGGUUGCCUACCUAUAUUUCCAUGAAACUUGAAGAUAUGAUCAUGGACAUUACCCUCAACAACCAGCCCAUAGUAGACCAUUUAUACAAAGUUGUUCCAAGGUGAAGAUGUCAAUUAUUCGAUGACCCCCUGAAAUAAAUAAUUUAAUUCGGCAAUUAAUUAGAAUAGAACAACACGUUAGACAUAAAUCAGUACCCGUAGUAGACCCUAGGAUUUCCGGAAAUUUAAGGUUCACAUUUAACCCUAAAACUCCAUGAAAUCUAUAUAAAAACUGGAACAUUAUUUCUACAUCUUGGAGUCUAUUAAUUAAUUUUUCCUUCUUGUUGGAUUCAAAUUCCCAGCAUCAAAGUUCGUUAAAAUUCAAUGGAGUGACAACUAUCUACUGUAAAGAAAGAAUCAUUUGGUGGCAAACCCACCAUUUACUUUGCCUUAUGAUAGAAGUCAGAACCUCCUCAGACUCAAAAGUAUCUGCCUUAUUUCAAUAGAGUUCAAACGAAGGAAUGAUAAUUUUGACCUUUUCCAUGUAUAGUUUACACUGUUUUUCCUCCCCUCUAUAUAUAGUAUAUAUGGACUCGACUAACCCACCAACCCCAUACGAAAAUGAAACUUUUCUGUCUCAGAAGCUGCAUUUUCUUAGUUGCCAUUUAGAUUUUCAUGCUUUCUUCACUAGAAAAAAAAAAAAAAAAAAACCAAAGAAAUUUUAGAUGAUAAAGAAAAAGUAUAAAGUAUUGCAUUGUUUAUUAUUCAUGGACUUUCAUCUCCAAAUUGACCCAGAAAUACAUCGGUUUUAGCUGAAAGCAUAUAAAACUUUUUAAUUUUCAGUUUCGGUGAGCAGAUGUGUUCAAAUUGCUGAAUAGAAAACGGACUAAUUCAAUUUCCAUGGAAUAUUCAGACCUUUUAGCAGUCUGAUUUCAAUUGAAUGAAUGAAUAAAUGAAUUACUAGAUUGUACAGCCCUAUUGUGUUUAUAGACAAGGUUACAAUGAUAUACAAGAUUUAGUGUAUUAUCAACAAAACUGAGGAUGAACCACCACGAUAUUAGAAGAGCUUGCUUGCAAACUCUUCAAUGGCCUCUCCUUUUUUGGAAGAAGAAUAAGAGGAUGCUGCCAGAUCCUUGAGCCCGGACAAGCUUCUUCCUAGCUGUAGAGCCACCUUCAUUUCAAACAAUUCCCCAUUCUCUCUUCUCCCCACAUCUCUUUCAUUCAGAUUUGACUCUAUGCUCUCUUCCAUCAGCCGGAAGAAGCCUGCGUUGCCUCUAUACAUCUCAAACACCAUGCCCACUUGCCAGCCAUGCUCCAUUGUGUUCACCACGCUUGCCAUGGCUCCAGCUACGACUCCUAGUGUCGCGGCCCAGGGACCAUGAGAAGAUCCCACGAACGCAGUUCCACAAGCCGAUAAGC